rnacentral:rRNA from 1 species
UUGCCUCAGUAACGGCGAGUGAAGCGGCAACAGCUCAAAUUUGAAAUCUGGCGCAAGCCCGAGUUGUAAUUUGCAGAGGAUGUUUCGGGUGAAGCCACGGUCCAAGUCCCUUGGAACAGGACGUCAUAGAGGGUGAGAACCCCGUACCUGGCCGUCGGUGCCCCCCGCUGUGAAACUCCUUCGACGAGUCGAGUUGUUUGGGAAUGCAGCUCUAAAUUGGUGGUAAAUUCCAUCUAAAGCUAAAUACCGGCCAGAGACCGAUAGCGCACAAGUAGAGUGAUCGAAAGAUGAAAAGCACUUUGAAAAGAGAGUUAAAAAGUACGUGAAAUUGUUGAAAGGGAAGCGCUUGCGGCCAGACUUGCCCGCGGUUGCUCAGCCCGCCUUUUGGCGGGUGCACUCUUCCGCGGUCAGGCCAGCAUCGGUUUGGGCGGUCGGAUAAAGGCGCCGGGAACGUGGCCUCCCCUCGGGGAGGUGUUAUAGCCCGGCGCGCAAUGCGGCCAGCCCGGACCGAGGUUCGCGCUUUGCUAGGAUGCUGGCGUAAUGGCCGUAAGCGGCCCGUCUUGAAACACGGACCAAGGAGUCUAACAUCUAUGCGAGUGUUUGGGUGUCAAACCCGUGCGCGUAAUGAAAGUGAACGGAGGUGGGAACCGCAAGGUGCACCAUCGACCGAUCCUGAUGUCUUCGGAAGGAUUUGAGUAAGAGCAUAGCUGUUGGGACCCGAAAGAUGGUGAACUAUGCGUGAAUAGGGUGAAGCCAGAGGAAACUCUGGUGGAGGCUCGCAGCGGUUCUGACGUGCAAAUCGAUCGUCAAAUUUGCGUAUAGGGGCGAAAGACUAAUCGAACCAUUUGCAAACAGCAAUACUAGAUGGUCAAAGGGCGGAGAGCCUUAGUCCCCACGGGGGCCACACUGCCAAACUGCGGGGAACGCCCACAGCCGGACGCCACCGCCCCCCCGCCGCAAGGUGGUAGGGGCACCCCGUUUACUCGGGGGUAAGGUAACAGCGCGCCCGGCGGGUCGAUCCGCAGCCGUCCCCCGAUCCGUCGGGGGGUGGUUCACAGACUAGACGGCAGUGGGCGCGGCGAGCGCUUAAGAUAUAGUCGAUCCAGCCCCUCAAGGGCCGAGA